GAGGGAGGAGUAUCAUUUAUAAUACCAUAACUAAAAGUGUACAGCAUUUCUGUCCAUGUGGCCUCACACACAAAGUCAACAGUGAAAGGAAGGCUAUCUAUCUGACGAGAAAGCAGCGGACAGUACAGCAGAUCUUCUGUGUGUCUGCCCAUGCGACUCUGACAGGAGGAGCUCUCGAUGUUGAUGUACUUGUACAUGCUCUGAACGUGGCUGACGGUGGCGUUGAUGCUGGAGGAGAUCGUUUCAAUCUCCAUCGAGAUGGACUUCAGACGACCAUCCAAUGCAGAGAAACGCUCACCUGUCCGGUUCUCAUAAUACCUAAAGAGGACAGAUACAUUGUGUUCUGUGCUGCAAACACACACAUACCUGCUGGGUGAGGUCGUAGUACACCUCGGUGGACAUGGCGAUUCUCUGGUGAUCUGCUACAACGUUGUUUUGGAGUGAGCGCAUGUUUUGCGUGGUGCUGCUCGUGUUGGAUUUGAUUGCACUCAGAACUCGGCUGUAGUUCUGCCAGUCGGUGGUCAACUUCUGGAGGACCAGAGUCUCCUCAUCUGCUUUUCUCUGCAGGGCAUCUAUCCACAUUGUACUUGAGAGCAGAGAAAAACACAGAAGACGUGUGAGUUUCCUCAAUCACGUCCUUCCAGCCCUCCACCCGAUCCAGGUAUCUUUCCAGCGACUGGUUGAGAAGUUUGAUCGACAUGAGGUGGUUUUGCAUAUCACGUGUCAACCGGUUGCUGGUGGCCUUUAGGGCGGACUGGGUCUGGGAGGCCUGGUCCAGGACCUGGAAGGGGUCAGAGAUCAGAAAUGAAAGGAGUCACAGGCUGUAUCCAAUUUUUUGUUGGGGGUUAUAAAAAAACUCAAAUGUGAGGAUUUGCUGCUUCUCUGCUUUUAGAUCUUCACAAAUUAAACAUCCUUGGGUUGGACUAUAGUUUGAUCAAAACAAACAACUUGAAGUCACUUUUGUCUCUUAAGCUGGUUUUGUGAUUCACCAUACGGUACCUGCUCCUGUCCCAGUAUCAUCUUCUGGAUGUCUUCAAACUCUCUCUUCAGCCUGCUGAUCUCCUCGCUGUACAGAGUCACAUCCAGACAGCCUGAACAGUUAGAGGAAGAGCUCAGAUCUGAGAAAUGAAGUCAGAGAAAGAAAAGGUGGAGAGAUGAGAGACAGUAAAAGAGAGACAGUGAGGCAGGAUAGAUAACAAGAUGUCUGCAUAUGAUCUAUAUUGAAGCUUCUGGUUACCACAUGUCUGUUUUACAAGAGGACAUUACAUUCAAUCAUCUGUAUUGCUUCACACUUCAUGAAUGACCUUAAAACCCCUGGUACUUAUGCAGGGUCUAUGUAGCUGACAAAACAAUCACACCGCAAGGUCCAUUUAGUAGCUGUUCAGGAGCUCAGCAGAUGGGAAGAUACUAAAUGUCACUAAAUGUAAUUGAGUAAGUAAGUAACUAUUCCAAAAAGUAGAAAAAACAGACAUGGCAUCCCUUCUUCUUAGGAUACAUUGACUCGCUGACUAUUGAUGCAGAAACUGCAAACUAACUGUGCUCCCACCCUUUUCCCCUUUGUGUUUUUUGUUUUGUUUUUUUUGGUUGGCUACUUUGUUUGUUUGAACGUGCAGUGUGAGUGAUUGGGAGCUGGGGUGGGUGGAAAUACUAUGUUGUAGGUGUGCUGGGUGAGUUAGACUUGGUAUAUUAUUAACAGAAGUUCUUCGCUUUUGCUAAUAUCCUUCAUCAAUCUGUAAUUCUGUUCA